AGAUCUCGUACUGAUACCCCCUCUUCUCUUUUUGUUUAAUCAGCUUGUUUUGGCAUUACGAUAAAGAGAGAAAGAAACCGGACACGCAACAUCUCCAUUGAAUCCAUCUAAUCUCUCCUCUGAUUGAACGCGAACCAAAGGAAGAACAUAAAUCGGAAGCCAUCCAAUUCUAGACCUUAAUCGGAGCGCUGAAAACCAAUUAAGGACUGACGUGAUUAAGAAGGAAGAAACUAUGCCUGGCAGCAUUGGGUGAAUGGAUGUAGAAACAGAGGAAACUGAAAAUGGUAAUAAUGAUGUAUCUCGUCCCUAAAGAGGCUAAUGAUCAGCCGAAGGAACUACUAUACUAGAAACAAGCUUCUAAAAGGCUAUUGCAGAAUGGGAUACGGGUACUGAUGCGGGUCCUCUUGUAACUAGGCGUAGGCAUAUUCGGUUUGAAUCUCUUCAUGAAGGUAUAUAGGGGUGCUAACGGGUCGGGUUUGCGUGUCAACCUGACCCGAACCCGAAAAUUUUAGACUGAUGCGAACCCGAAAAUCAUGUCGUACAUAUGAACCCAAACUCGACCCGAAUAUUCGAACCCGACCCGUUCAACCCGAUUUUUUUUUAAUUUUUUUCAGCAAAUUAAUAUAUUAAAAUUAACACUACAACAAAAAAAACACAAAUUUAUAUAAUAAAAUUACAUUAAAAUCAUAUUAAUUUAUGUUAACUUCCAUUUUUAAGUUAUAUUUAUAGCAUAAAAUAUACACCCAAUUUAAUUUAUGACCUAAAACAUAUUUUUAAAAAUAUAAUAUAAUAGAAAUGGGUUAAACGGGUCAACUUGCCAACCCAACCGGGUUGACCCGAACCUGACCCGUUUAGCUAAACGGGUUCGUGGGUUCAACCUGAAACUGGCCCGAACCCGUUUAGACUAAACCCAAACCCACGAAUUUCGUGUUAGGUUCGUAUCAUGUUUUCGGAUCGUGUCAGAAAUUCACACCCCUAAAGAUAUAUGCUUAAUAUUUUACAUCUCUUGAUGUGGGUCAUGUUCUUCUCAUUGUGGCUUCCUUCGUAUUGCUCCCUUUUCACCGGUACUCGCUGGUGUUGGGGAUGCUUGUGGUGCUAAUGUUCAUCCCAAUUUACAAUUUAUGAGCGCAUUAUAUGGGGCCUUGCUAUAGCUAGGACCUAUGUAGGAUCGUUGUUGAACCCGAAUGAGUCAAUCAGAAGAGUUGUGAAUCCGAUUCAAAGGCGGAAUCAGUGAAACGGACGCUCAAACUAAUUAUAAUGCUUCUUUGAUUGAUUUAACAACGUUUACAACCUGAAAGCAAUUUGGCAGCACUUCGUUACAAUUUCCAGAUCUGUUGCCAAAUGAACAACAAUGCACCUAUAUAUAGUUGAGGUAGUUUCGCUUAUAUGGACGUCCAUAUGAACGAAACCUCAUGCUUGUGGUUUCGCUUUUAUGGACAUUGUCCAUAUAAGCGGAACCUCUUGCAUAACCACUAAGUUUCGACUCUCGAACCUCAUGCACUAGUUAUUCUAACCUAUCCUAUUCUAUUACAUGAUACAAGACGAAGUCAAUAGACGUAAUGCACUAACAGACUCCCCCUCGGAUAUUGACAAAGUCUUCAGUGGCUAUUCUCUGUUAUGACACCUCUUCAGUCUUGAUCAUUUUGCCUUCUCAUUCAGAUUGUAACAAUGCUCCCCCUUUCGUUAAGCUUCUGUGCUUUUAGGGAUCGACACCAAGCUUUCCAGCUAACAAGCUCUUUCUAACUUCCAGCUUGUCUUCAGACUCCCCCUUAGACUCUGCUUUCGGGAUCGUAGUCUGGGAGCUAUUUGAAGCCAAAAUCAAGCUUGUUGAACUCGGGUUCAGUAGAGAUGCAGUUAUACAAGCUUUGAAGCUUUUUGAUGGUAAUGAAGAACAAGCAGCUGGAUAUCUUCUACCUCUGGAAAAGUGCGUGAAUCUGCUGUUUUUGUUUUGAUAUUUGCUGGUGCUGCAUUUAGGAUUAAUUUGCCAUUGGUCGAUUAAAUUGUGCAAUGCAUGAAGUAGCUACCGCUGAAACUUAGGAUAUGAUGGUUUAUACAGUUUGUUUUUGGCCAUUUAUCUUUGAUUCUUUAUCUACUCCACUUCAUUUCUGUGUUCUUUGAUUUUCAGGAUCCUUGCCACCAUUGGCCCAACUAAGUUAUGGAUACUUUUGAUUCUAAGCCUGAAUUGACAAACAUUUGUUUAUCCUACAGGUUGUUCCAAAAUUUGAUUUGGAUAUUAACUAAGAUGAUGUGGAAGGCGGGUGUUCCAGCUAUGGACAGAUCAAGCAUAUAUAUGUUGACAAGUAUGUGUGUAAGUUCUUUAUCUCAGUCUACUAGAAUGAGCAUGUGUUAGAUGUGCAAAUUACCAUAACAUGGGGUUUACAAGUAGCAUGAAUAAAACAAUUGGAGGAUCAUACAACAUCAGAAUUGGCCACAAGUUACAAGUUUACUCCCCACCACAACAGCAGUAAUGUGCCACGAACCAUGAAUGCAAAUUUGCAGCACUUUUAGGUCUAAAACAAUGAGUAUGCGGACUUGAAGAAAACAGUCUGGAAAUAGUUCUUAGUUUAUGUGUAAAGUCAUUUUCAUUUGCAAGUUUUGUAGAUAGGUUAGUAUUGGUAUUUAAAUUGAAUACUUAUGUAUGGAUUUUGGGUUAUUAUUAUUAAUAGCAUUUGGUUUUUAGUU
rnacentral:lncRNA from 1 species